rnacentral:piRNA from 1 species
UGGGGAAAACUGAAGGAGAGGAAAUUGUG